UACAGAGGGGGCAAGCGUUGUUCGGAAUUACUGGGCGUAAAGGGCGCGUAGGCGGCCUUCUAAGUCGAACGUGAAAUCCCUGGGCUCAACCCAGGAACUGCACUCGAAACUACUUUUCUUGAGUGCCGGAGAGGAAAGCGGAAUUCCUGGUGUAGAGGUGAAAUUCGUAGAUAUCAGGAGGAACACCAGUGGCGAAGGCGGCUUUCUGGACGGUAACUGACGCUGAGACGCGAAAGCGUGGGGAGCAAACAGG
rnacentral:rRNA from 1 species